rnacentral:lncRNA from 1 species
GGAAGAGGGACGUACACUUCCUUCUAACCUCGCUAAUGGUCUUUGACUUGUUCCAGGGCUACUCAAGUCUGGAGAAGUCAUCUGAGUUGCUUCAGGAAUCCCUGUUGGUUGUGCUUCAGGCUGAGAUGCUUGAUCAAGUGUAGGUCUAUAUGGUGGAUUAAUAUUUACGGAUGAAGCCACUGCUAAAUUAUCACGUACUCCUUCAAUAUUAGCACGCCCACGGCCCCUUCCACCUCGCCGACCUCUACCUCGUGCAGAUCUUGCCAUUUCUGCGACAUCACAUAAAAAGUACAUAAAGAUUCAAAAAAUGUUAUAUAGUAGUGAAAGCAUAAAAAUAUACAAUAAUGAGAUGUGGACCCCAAGGAUGCUUGAUGUGCGUUAUAUGAAGAACCCAAUAAUCAGACAGCAGAACAGUAAAGCUAAAAAUAUUGAAAAACAAGUUAAGUCCAUCGGAAAAUGCACAGGCCCAACACAUUUCUGGCAAUCGAGACCAAAGUCCUUCCUAGAAACGAGGCAAACGGUAUGUUGCGCUCUCUUCAAAAAUGCCAAACGGGUGCAUGUCGGCUCCUCCAAAAGUGGUGCAAUAUUUUGGAAUAUCCGACACAGGUGCAUCAACAUUUUGGAGAAUCAGAGCAAGAUGUUUCACUCAGGCUCAUGUUUCUGUUAUUGGCUGAACUUGAAUAAAAUCUCCAGCGUCCUUUGUAAAGGACACAUUCGAUUGAUACACAUUAUUCGUAAGUGUAAAAAUAAUAACAUAAAAUCGAUUUCUGCAAACCUUAUGCAGAAUAUGAACUGCUGUUAUCAGGUUAACUCCCCUAAUUGCAAUUGUCUACUAGCCCAUGGAACACUUAAGUAGGCACAGUACAAAUAAAUGAGAAGGGUAGAGUGGCGGACCCAUUACUAACUGAGUUUCUAACCAUGGACCACUAGCUUGCGUGGAUUUCUUAGUUAUCAAAAAAAAUUGAUACAUUAUAAAGCCUUGAAGAUUCUCAUUGAAACGAUGGGGGGAAAAACACAGCAUGAUCGCAUUACAAGAUAACUGAACAACAAUAUAAGUACAAAAUAGACGCUACAAAGAUGGACAGGGCGUCAAGCGAACAACAACAGAAUACUAAAACCAAGCUACAAGAACCUGUCUUUUGAAAAAACUAAAUGACCAGUACAAGUUAAAAUUGCAUAAUAAUUAUACGAAGUACAUAAGAGGAGAUAAAGAGACCACUUAUAAGUGUUGAAAUGCGAGAAAACUAAGUGUUGAAAUGCGAGAAAACUAACCUUCACCGCUAUUUAAAUUCUCUGGAGAUGGACGUACACUUCUUUUCAUAUUCCUUGAUAAUUGUGACUCCGACAAUGGUCUUUGACUUGUUCCAGGGUUACUUAAGUCUGGAGAAGUCGACUGAGUUACUUUAGGAAUCCCUGUUGGUUGUGCUUGCGGCUGAGAUGCUUGAUCAAGUGUAGGUCUAGCUGGUGGAUUAAUAUUUACAGAUGACUCCAAAGCAAAAUUAUCACGUACUCCUUCAAUAUUACCACGCCCGCGGCCCCUUCCACCUCGCCGGCUUCUACCUCUACCUCGCACAGAUCUUGCCAUUUCUGCUACAUCACAUAAAAAGUAUAUAAAGAUUCAAAAAAAAAUUAAAUAUUAUUAAAAGAAUAAAAAUAUACAAUAAUUAGAGAUCUGGACCCCCAGGAUGCUUGAUGAGCCUUAUACUAAGAAAUCAACAAUCAGACAGCAGAAACAGUAAGGUUAAACAUAUUGACAAACAAGAUAAAUCCAUCAGAAAAUUCAUAGGCCCAACACGUUUCUGGCAAUUGAGAACAGAUAAGUGUAUGAUUGGGGCCAAAGUCCUUUUUAGAGAUGAGGCAAAUGGUAUGUUGUGCACGCUUCAAAAAUGCCAAAAGGUGUGUGUCGGAUCCUCCAAAAGUGGUGCAAUUUUUUGGAAUAUCCGACACAGGUGGAACAACAUGUUGGAGAAUCCGAACAAGAUAUUUCACUCAGGCUGAUGUUUCUACUAUUUGGCUGAACUUGAAUAAAAUCUCCAAUGCACUUUGUAAAAGGAGACAGUCUAUUGAUACACAUUAUUCAAAAGAGUAAACAAAAUAACAUAAAAAUUGAUUUCUGAAAACCUUAUUCAGAAUAUGGACUUGAUGUUAUUAGGUUAAUGCCCCUUAUUGCAAUUGUUUACAAGUUCAUGGACACUUACAUAGGCUCAGUAUAAAUAAAUGAGGUUAGAGGGUAAAAAACUUUCAAAAUUAUUAUAUUUAAAUGGAGAAGGGUAGAGUGGAGGAUCCAUGACAAACCGAUUUUCGAACUGCGAACCACUGGCUCGUGUGGAUUUCUCAAUUAUCAAAAGAAAAAAAAAAUUGGUAUAUUAUACAGCCUCGAAGAUUCUCGUUGAAACGAUGCGGAAAAAAAAAGACAGCAUAAUCUCAUUACUACAUAACUGAACAGCAAUAUAAGUACAUAAGAGAUGCUACAAAAGUUGGACAGGGUGUCGAGUGAACAACAGAAUAUUAAAAUCAAGCUACAAGAAUCUUUCUUUCAAAAAAAAUCAAAUGACCAAUACAAUUUAAAAUUGCAUAAUAAGUACAUAAGAGGAGAGGGAAACAGACCACUUAUAAUUAUUGAAAUGCGAGAAAACCAACCUUCACCACUAGUUAAAUUCCCUGGAGAUGGACGUACACUUCUUUCCGUGUUCCUUGAUAAUUGUGACCCCGACAAUGGUCUUUGACUUGUUCCAGGGUUCCUUAAGUCUGGAGAAGUCGACUGAGUUGCUUCAGAUAUUCCUGUUGGUUGUGCUUGCAGAUGAGAUGCUUGAUCAAGUGUAGGUCUAUAUGGUGGAUUAAUAUUUACGGAUGAUGCCACAGCAAGAUUAUCACGUACUCCAUCAAUUUUACCACGCCCGCGGCCCCUUCCACCUAACCGACCUCUACCUCUACCUCGUG